GUCAGCGGCGGACGGGUGAGUAACACGUGGGCAACCUACCUGUAAGACUGGGAUAACUUCGGGAAACCGGAGCUAAUACCGGAUAAUACUGAACCUCACGUGAGGUUCAGUUGAAAGAUGGUUUCGGCUAUCACUUACAGAUGGGCCCGCGGCGCAUUAGCUAGUUGGUGAGGUAACGGCUCACCAAGGCGACGAUGCGUAGCCGACCUGAGAGGGUGAUCGGCCACACUGGGACUGAGACACGGCCCAGACUCCUACGGGAGGCAGCAGUGGUCAUAGCUGGUUUCCUG
rnacentral:rRNA from 1 species